rnacentral:rRNA from 1 species
GAUGUUGGGUUAAGUCCCGCAACGAGCGCAACCCUUGUCUUUAGUUGCCAUCAUUAAGUUGGGCACUCUAGAGAGACUGCCAGGGAUAACCUGGAGGAAGGUGGGGAUGACGUCAAAUCAUCAUGCCCCUUAUGCUUAGGGCUACACACGUGCUACAAUGGGUAGUACAGAGGGUUGCCAAGCCGUAAGGUGGAGCUAAUCCCUUAAAGCUACUCUCAGUUCGGAUUGUAGGCUGAAACUCGCCUACAUGAAGCUGGAGUUACUAGUAAUCGCAGAUCAGAAUGCUGCGGUGAAUGCGUUCCCGGGUCUUGUACACACCGCCCGUCACACCACGGGAGUUGGAGACGCCCGAAGCCGAUUAUCUAACCUUUUGGAAGAAGUCGUCGAAGG